rnacentral:lncRNA from 1 species
AAGUGCUCUGACCAGCAGCUCUUGCAUGAGGCACCUACAGGCAGAGGAUUAAUUAGGUUUUCAGUUUCAGUUUCCCAGAAAGGAGGUGGGCUUUUUUUUCACCCUGCUUUAAAAGCCCUUGGGCCCUUCCCAGCUGGGUGCCAGCCAACUGUGGCUGCCUGGGACACUCCAUCUUAAGUCCCUGUGCCUCUGCUGUGUGUUACUGAGUGCCUAGGCCGUGCCAGCCUGUAUUCAUCUGUACUAUGACCUGAAGAGGCAGAGGCCAUCACUGUUGGUCCGGUCUCCACCUGGGGAAACUGAGGUUGCACAGUGUCUCUGUGGUGACGAGCAGGGCUUCAUCCAGUGCCUCUGUCCCCACCGAGGGGACUAUGGGAGACAUGGAGGGUGUGUGAGCAACAGGUGAGACUGGAGCCAGCUGAAAACUGGGAGACCGACCCAGCCAACAAACAAUGUCGGUCUCUGUCUUGGCACCUGCAGGAAACAAGCUCCUACUUCCAGAAAAAGUGCUCCUGGGACUCCAGGAUACCAGGCAUCUGGGUAAGCUACAAUGCUUAACCACUUAACACAAUCAGGAAGCAACAGCCAUGCAUUCGGGAAAGGAACUUCAGUGUUGUGUGGCUCAGUCUCCAGACCUAACUUUCCCUUUGGUACAGACGCGGUGGUACAUGCCUGUAAUCCCAACACUUAGGCAGGAGGAUCACUCGAGCCCAGAAGAUCAAGACUAGUGUGAGCAACAAACCUUGUUUCCCAUAUGAGUAGACUCUCCCUUAGCUGGGAAAGCCUGACGAACGCCAUCUGGCCCCUUGAUUUACAAGACAUUAAGGGCUACUUACCCAACCCCCUUCCUCAAAGAGUUAACCUGCGUAAGCAGAUCCUCAGCAUUUCAAAGGAGCCCAAUUAGCUGAUAAGGUACUGGAACAAACAAUGUACGAAGUUCCCAGGAUUUUGCUCAAAAGCAUAACAACAUAAAGCCUUGAGUCUGUGUCUGGCAUAGCAUCCAUAUCUAACUCUUAUGAAGGAUUUAGAGCCCGGCACCUGGUUCCGUUGCUUUUUUUGUAACCAUUUGUCUUUUAAAUUGUUUAUUUCUCUGUAACCAUUUGUUUUUUGAUUCUUGCAUGUUUUUACUUCUGUAGAAUUAUUGCAUUUGAGCUCCGCUCCCCUUCCGAACCAAGGUAUAAAAGUAAAUCAAGCCCCUUCCUCGGGGCCGAGAGAAUUUUGGAAAGUCAAGCCUUCUCUUGGCUGCCGGCUUAAAUAAAGGACUCUUAAUUCGUCUC